GACGAAGGGGGCUAGCGUUGUUCGGAAUUACUGGGCGUAAAGCGUGUGUAGGUGGUUGCCAUAGUCAGGUGUGAAAGCCUUGAGCUCAACUCAAGAAAUGCACUUGAUACUGGGCAGCUAGAGGACCGGAGAGGAUAGUGGAAUUCCCAGUGUAGUGGUGAAAUACGUAGAGAUUGGGAAGAACACCAGUGGCGAAGGCGGCUAUCUGGACGGUUUCUGACACUAAGGCACGAAAGCGUGGGGAGCAAACAGG
rnacentral:rRNA from 1 species